UUAUGAUUUUUUUAUAUCUUAUAUAACUUUCUGUUAGUUAUAAUAAUCAAUAGAAUAUUAUAUAAACACAUAGAAAGUCAUAUAUAUUAUUUAGGAUGUUAUAUAUAUUUACAGGAAGGAAGUCAUAUAUAUUAUUUAAGAAGUCAUAUAAGUCAUCAGAAAAUUAUAUAAGAUAUUAAGAAAUUAUAAUAACUAAUAAAAUAU
rnacentral:lncRNA from 1 species